UACCAGCACCCCGAGUGGUCGGGACGAUUAUUGGGCCUAAAGCAUCCGUAGCCGGUUUUACAAGUCCUCCGUUAAAUCCAACUGCUUAACAGAUGGGCCGCGGAGGAUACUAUAAGACUAGGAGGCAGGAGAGGCAAGCGGUACUCAGUGGGUAGGGGUAAAAUCCGUUGAUCCAUUGAAGACCACCAGUGGCGAAGGCGGCUUGCCAGAAUGCACUCGACGGUGAGGGAUGAAAGCUGGGGGAGCAAACCGG
rnacentral:rRNA from 1 species